ensembl:snRNA U6 U6 spliceosomal RNA
GUGCUUGCUUUGGCAGCAUAUAUAUUAAAAUUGGAAAGAUACAGAGAAGAUUAGCAUGGCCCCUGCGCAAGACGACAUACAAAGUCCUGAAGCAUUCCAUAUUUUU